GACGAACGCUGGCGGCGUGCUUAACACAUGCAAGUCGAACGGUGAAGCGCCUUCCUUUUUGGUGGGUGUGGAUGAGUGGCGAACGAGUGAGUAACACGUGAGUAACCUGCCCCCUUCUUCUGGAUAACCGCAUGAAAGUGUGGCUAAUACGGGAUAUUCUGGGUCUGUCGCAUGAUGGGUCUGGGAAAGAUAUUGUUUCGGUGGGGGAUGGGCUCGCGGCCUAUCAGCUUGUUGGUGGGGUGAUGGCCUACCAAGGCGGUGACGGGUAGCCGGCCUGAGAGGGUGGACGGUCACACUGGGACUGAGACACGGCCCAGACUCCUACGGGAGGCAGCAGUGGGGAAUAUUGCACAAUGGGCGCAAGCCUGAUGCAGCGACGCCGCGUGAGGGAUGGAGGCCUUCGGGUUGUGAACCUCUUUCGCCAGUGAAGCAGGCCUGCCUCGUUUGUGGGUGGGUUGACGGUAGCUGGAGAAGAAGCGCCGGCUAACUACGUG
rnacentral:rRNA from 1 species